rnacentral:lncRNA from 1 species
AAGAGACUCACCAAAACCAAACAUAUAUUGUGAUACUUUCCUUCUCAUUUGUUCCUCUGAUCUGUGGCGAUGGCUAGCCUGAAGGUUGCAUGCAUGGUUGCGGUGGUGUUCAUGGUCGUGGUGAGUGCACAUAUGGCACAUGCGAUCACGUGCGGGCAAGUGGCCUCUUCUUUGGCUCCAUGCAUCUCCUACCUCCAAAAGGGCGGAGUUCCGUCGGCGUCGUGUUGCAGCGGAGUGAAGGCCCUGAACAGCGCCGCAAGUACCACCGCUGACCGCAAAACCGCGUGCAACUGUCUGAAAAACCUUGCCGGUCCAAAGUCGGGUAUCAACGAGGGCAACGCCGCUUCACUCCCAGGCAAAUGUAAAGUCAACGUGCCCUACAAGAUCAGCAC